CCUACGGGCGGCAGCAGUGGGGAAUAUUGGGCAAUGGGCGCAAGCCUGACCCAGCAACGCCGCGUGAAGGAAGAAGGCUUUCGGGUUGUAAACUUCUUUUAAGAGGGAAGAGCAGCAGACGGUACCUCUUGAAUAAGCCACGGCUAACUACGUGCCAGCAGCCGCGGUAAUACGUAGGUGGCAAGCGGUGUCCGGAUUUACUGGGUGUAAAGGGCGUGGAGCCGGGCUGACAAGCCAGAUGUGAAAUCCGGGGGCUCAACCCCCGAACUGCAUGUGACACUGGUGGUCGUGGGUAUCGGAGAGGCAGGCGGAAUGACGAGUGUAGCGGGGAAAAGCGUAGAUAGUAGGAGGAACACCAGUGGCGAGGGCGGCCUGCUGGACGACAACUGACGGUGAGGCGCGAAAGCGUGGGGAGCAAACAGGAUUAGAUACCCCAGUAGUC
rnacentral:rRNA from 1 species